GACGAACGCUGGCGGCGUGCUUAACACAUGCAAGUCGAACGAGAAUCUACUGAAAGAGUUUUCGGACAAUGGAUGUAGAGGAAAGUGGCGGACGGGUGAGUAACGCGUGAGGAACCUGCCUUGAAGAGGGGGACAACAGUUGGAAACGACUGCUAAUACCGCAUGACGCAUAGAGGUCGCAUGAUCUUUAUGCCAAAGAUUUAUCGCUUCAAGAUGGCCUCGCGUCUGAUUAGCUGGUUGGCGGGGUAACGGCCCACCAAGGCGACGAUCAGUAGCCGACCUGAGAGGGUGACCGGCCACAUUGGGACUGAGACACGGCCCAAACUCCUACGGGAGGCAGCAGUGGGGAAUAUUGCACAAUGGGGGAAACCCUGAUGCAGCGACGCCGCGUGAGCGAAGAGUAUUUCGGUAUGUAAAGCUCUAUCAGCAGGGAAGAAAAUGACGGUACCUGACUAAGAAGCACCGGCUAAAUACGUGCCAGCAGCCG
rnacentral:rRNA from 1 species